AGUGGGGAAUAUUGGACAAUGGGCGCAAGCCUGAUCCAGCCAUGCCGCGUGGAUGACGAAGGCCCUAGGGUUGUAAAGUCCUUUCGCACGCGACGAUGAUGACGGUAGCGUGAGAAGAAGCCCCGGCCAACUUCGUGCCAGCAGCCGCGGUAAUACGAAGGGGGCUAGCGUUGUUCGGAAUCACUGGGCGUAAAGGGCGCGUAGGCGGCCACCCAAGUCAGGCGUGAAAGCCCCGGGCUCAACCUGGGAACCGCGCUUGAGACUGGUUGGCUCGAGUUCCGGAGAGGUGGGUGGAAUUCCCAGUGUAGAGGUGAAAUUCGUAGAUAUUGGGAAGAACACCGGUGGCGAAGGCGGCCCACUGGACGGACACUGACGCUGAGGCGCGAAAGCGUGGGGAGCAAA
rnacentral:rRNA from 1 species